UACAUUAAGGGAAGAUCUUGCAUGUUGCCA
rnacentral:piRNA from 1 species